UACGGGGGGGGCAAGCGUUGUUCGGAAUUACUGGGCGUAAAGGGCUCGUAGGCGGCCAACUAAGUCAGACGUGAAAUCCCUCGGCUUAACCGGGGAACUGCAUCUGAUACUGGAUGGCUUGAGUUCGGGAGAGGGAUGCGGAAUUCCAGGUGUAGCGGUGAAAUGCGUAGAUAUCAGGAGGAACACCUGCGGUGUAGACGGCUUACUGGACCAUAACUGACGCUGAGGCACGAAAGCGUGGGUAGCAAACAGG
rnacentral:rRNA from 1 species